rnacentral:rRNA from 1 species
UUAAUCCCGUGUUUCCUGGCAGGAUGUUACAAGACAGAGGAGGAAGCAGCUCGCACCCAUGAUCUCGCGGCGCUCAAGUGCUGGGGUUCAGAUUGCGGGCUCCUCAACUUCCCAGUGGACACGUACAGGCAGGAGCGCGAGAGGAUGCAGCGGAUGACACGGGAGGAGUACCUGGCGAGGCUGAGGCGCAACAGCAGUGGCUUCACAAGAGGCGUCUCCAAGUACAGGGGAGUUACAAGGCAUCACGCGAACGGCCGGUGGGAGGCGAGGAUCGGUCACUCUGCCGACACGCAGUACUCCUACUUGGGAAUUUUCGAUACCCAGGAGGAGGCGGCCAGGGCCUACGACCUCGCCGCGAUACGAAUCCGCGGCCCCGGCGCCGUCACCAACUUCGACGCCGACUGCUACGUGGACAUCCCGCAGCCGCUCCCCUGCAAGCCCGAGCCGGACCCGGAGCCGGCCGCGGCCCGUCCAUGCCCGCCGGCGCCACUGCCGCCGCCCAAGAUCGAGCCCAAGGACGAGCCGGAGAACCACUUCGAGUUCGAGCGCGAGCCGCCGCCCGCCCCGGCGCUCCGCGACGACGCCGACCACGUGGACCGCGCCAUCGCCGAGGUCCUGCAGGCGCUCUGCGUGGACCGCGCCGCCUUCGAGGCCAGGUACCCGCCCCGCCGCGCAGGGUGGCCAACGCCGUCGGGCUCGGACGACCUGCCGGUGCCGGGCGACGCGGGCUUCUUCGAGGACGACAUCGAGAGCGUGCUCUUCGACGCGCCCGGCGACGCCGAAGUCCCGCGCGCCGCCACCGCCACGAUCAGCUCGCUGGCGUCUGGCCGCUGGUGGUGA